rnacentral:tRNA from 1 species
GCCGGAGUAGCUCAGUUGGUAGAGCAACUGACUUUGUAAUCAGUAGGUCGAGGGUUCGACUCCUUUCUCCGGCACCA